rnacentral:rRNA from 1 species
AAGUGAUAAGGGCGCACGGGAUGCUCUAGGCUUCCGGAGGCGAUGAAGGACGUGAUGCCUGCGAUAAGCCGCGGGGGAGGUGCAAGUAACCGGUGAUCCGUGGAUUGAAUGGGGCAACCCGGCACGCUGGAGGCGCGCCAUCCGGCGCAAGCCGGAGGCGAACCUGCUGAACUGAAACAUCUAAGUAGGCGGAGGAGCAGGUGCAGCUGUAACAGUGAUUCCUCGAGUAGUGGCGAGCGAAAGGAUAGCCCAAACCGAGUGUUCAGGCCGUCUCGGGUAGUAGGCCGCCCAUCAGGGAUUGAGAAGAAGCGGAACGUCCGGAAAGGCCGGCCGGGUGACAGCCCCACGCGUAAGUGCUCAAUGGCACCCCGGAGUAGGGCGGGGGCACGAGGAACUUCUGGUUGUCCGAAUCAAAGCGCCGGGACCAUCCGGCAGCUAAAUACUCCCGAAGACCGAUAGCGAACCAGCGUACCGUGAGGGAAAGGUGAAAGCACCGCGAGCAGCGGUGAAAAAGAGCCUGAAACCGUGCGCCUACAAGCGGUCGCGGGUGGAGUCCGGCAUAGCCGGAUGACGGCGCCUUUGCAUAAUGAGCCUACGAGCUGCGCCGCGGCCGGCGAGGGCUAACUCCUGGUAAGGGGGUAGCCGAAGAAGGCGUAGUCCUAACAGGGCGUUUAGUCGCACAGGGCAGACGCGAAACCUGCGCAUCUACCCAUGGCCAGGCUGAAGUGGCGGUAACACGCCAUGGAGUGCCUGAAACCGGUAAGCUGCCGAAAGUGUCUUCGGAUGAAAUUAAAAAGUAGUGAGCGCCAACGUUUUCUGUGAAAUAACACUGCACUCCUCGAAAUGCCUUUGGGGCAGCCCGAUACGCGCGGAGUGCAGAGCCCACUGAUUGGGCAGGGCUUCACCGCCUAUCAAGCUUCAGACGAACUCCGAACGCCGCGCCGCGGUUUCGGGAGUGAGCCAUGUGGGGUGCCAAGGUCCCGCUGACGAGGGAAAGAACCCGGACCGGCGUUUAAGGUCCCCAAGCGUACGCCAAGUCGAGUUAAACGAGCGUGUGCGGCUGCAGCAGAUGCCUAGAUGUUGGCUUGAAGCAGCCAUUCAUUCAAAGAGUGCGUAAUGCAGCUCACUAGUCAGCAUGGCCGUGCGUGGAUGAUAAAGUGGAAAGGGCGUCAAGCGUACCAACGAAGCCCGGAUGCGUGGUAAUCACGCGUGUGACAUUCCAUGUGCGGCGGUGUCAGCCUGGCAGAGGUUUGGUGAGCCACGGAAAAGCAAUGUAGGCAUGAGUAACGAACAAUGCGGGCGAGAAACUCCGCACACCGUAAGGCCCAGGGUUCCCGAUCAACGCCAAUCGGAUCAGUUGCCGACCCAAGGCGAACCCGAAGGGGGGAAGCCGAUGGCAUCGGGUUAAUAAUCCCGGGAGCCUGGCGGGUGCCGAUCCGGGACGGAUCGGCGCGGCGCGCAACGUACCGACGGACAUGGUGCGUUGAGCCUUAGCCCACGGGCUAGCGAGCGUGAGGCCGGUCCCGAGAGCCGGAAAGCUAUAGCCCCACGGCACCUGUACCGUAAACCGACACAGGUGGCCGGGGGAGAGUAUCCUUAAAGGGUGCUCGAGUGAAUCAGGCGCCAUGAACUUCGGCAAACUGACCCCGUAACUUCGAGAAGGGUCCCCGGCGUGAAGCCGGGCCAGAGAAGCGGCCCCGUGGCGACCGUUUACUAAAAACACAUGGCUCUGCCAAACCGCAAGGUGACGUAUAGGGCCUGACACCUGCCCGGUGAGCCGGAAGGUUAUGUGCUAUCCGGCUAGCCCGAGGUGCCUCUGAACCGAAGCCCCGGUAAACGGCGCCGUAACUAUAAACGGUCCCGGCGGUAGCGAAAUUCCUUGUCGGGUAAGUUCCGACCUGCACGCAACGAAUGGUAACGAUUCAAGUGCUGUCUCGGCCAUGGUUCUCGGUGAAAUUCCCGGUGUCGCGGUGAAGACCGCGCACCCGGCAACGGACGGAAAGACCCCGUGAACCUUACUGCGCCUUAGCGCUGGUACUGCGCGUGAUGUGUAGAUAGGCCGGAGCGCAUUGAGCCGGCCCUGCCAGGGGUCGGGGAGCCGCCUCUGAAUACGGCCCCGCGCCUGCGGGAUUCAAUCCGGCAGUAGCCGGAGCAUGUCGCUUGGCGGUAGUUUGACUGGGGUGGUCGCCUCCAAAAGGGUAACGAGUACUCCCAGCAGUGCCCCGUAGCGAAUGGUAACCGCGGAGUGCACGCACAAGGGCGCUUGACUGCGAGGCCAGCAUACAAGCCGAGCAGGUGCGAAAGCAGUGGCAUAGUGAUCCGGUGGUUCCGCACAAAGGGCCAUCGCCUCAAAGGAUAAAAGGUACUCCUGGGGAUAACAGGCUGAUCGCCGCCACACUACAUCGACGCGGCGGUUUGCACCCCCUCGAUGUCGCUCGUCACAUCCUGGGGCUGGAGAAGGUCCUGCGGUUCUGGCUGUCUGCCGAUUAAAGGGCACGCGAGCCUGGGUUCAGAACGUCGUGAGACAGUUCGGUCCCUAUCUGUUGUAUGUAGAGGUCUGCGGGGCCCUGGCACUAGUACGAGAGGACCGUGCUGGACGUACCGCUGGUGUACCUGUUGUGGCGCCAGCCGCACUGCAGGGUAGCCACGUACGGACGGGAUAAGCGCUGAAAGCAUCUAAGCGCGAAGCCCCCCCCAAGAUGAGGCCUCCCUGAGGGUCGUGGGAGACUACCACGUUGAUAGGCUGCAGGUGUAAGGCCGGCGACGGUUUUAGCCGAGCAGUACUAAUAGCCCGAGACUUCCC